rnacentral:lncRNA from 1 species
GGAGAAGGCAAACAUGGAAAGAUUUUCAGCUGGUGAAUCGCAUGAUAAAGGUGUCACAUUUUUGCAAGGGUGUGGAGAAGACAACUUGGACAAGGAAGAGCUAUAAGAGUCCCGGGAGAAAAAAACGUGUAUCUGAGAAGUUUCAGAGGAAGAGAUCUGAACUCAAAAGUUGCUGGGUUAAAGGAAUCCAGGCUGUUCAGGCUCCUACAGACUAACAUGAAGGGAACCGUUAUCACGCGCUUGGUGAGCUGAACCAUCGGGGGAGAAGAUGAGAGUUGGAGCUGGGAGUGGAGGUUGUCCUGCUGGAGCUACAGUCACAGAGGAACAGAGCCACGUUCAGAGACACUGUGCUGAAGAAGGGAGACCAAGGAAAAGAAGUUCACAGGCCUUUUUUUCCUUCACUUUUCUGCUAUCUGAUUUUUUGUGACAACUUGAUGAGGCCCAGGUACAUGGGCAAAUAUUAUUCUAUUUCACUGAGGGUAUUUUUGGAUGCAAUCACCAUUAAUAACGGUAACAAAAUACAGCAUUGUGAACCCACUCUGUUACGUGAGUGGCCCCAUCCGAUCAGUUGAAGGCCGGAAGAGAACAAACGCUUUGACUCUCCCACAAGGAAACAUACAUUCUCCCUGUCUGACAGCCCUGAACUAGACCACUCGCUUUUUUUCUUGCCUUUGCACAUAGACAAAGCAUCAAUUCUCUCAAAUCUUCAGCUCAGUGAUUCAUUCUGCAGAUUUUGGGACUUGUUGGCACCCACAAUCACAGGAACCAAUUCCUUGUAAUAAGUCUCUUUCUGAUAGUCAUUUAUUUCUUUGGUGAAUCCUGUCACUAUACUUUCUGGUCCCUGCUGGUACCUUCCAGCUAAAUUUAACCAGUGGGGUGGCCUGAUGAUACCACUUCUGGAGGUCAAGGGAUGAAAAAGAGGAAAAUACAGUUUCCAAAGUUGUUUGUGUGAGGGGGAAGGGAAUGUGGCAACAUAGUGGUUCAGAGAAAGGAGGCAG